rnacentral:rRNA from 1 species
GACGAACGCUGGCGGCGUGCUUAACACAUGCAAGUCGAACGGAAAGGCCCUGCUUUUGUGGGGUGCUCGAGUGGCGAACGGGUGAGUAACACGUGAGUAACCUGCCCUUGACUUUGGGAUAACUUCAGGAAACUGGGGCUAAUACCGGAUAGGAGCUCCUGCUGCAUGGGGGGGGUUGGAAAGUUUCGGCGGUUGGGGAUGGACUCGCGGCUUAUCAGCUUGUUGGUGGGGUAGUGGCUUACCAAGGCUUUGACGGGUAGCCGGCCUGAGAGGGUGACCGGCCACAUUGGGACUGAGAUACGGCCCAGACUCCUACGGGAGGCAGCAGUGGGGAAUAUUGCACAACGGGCGGAGGCCUGAUGCAGCAACGCCGCGUGCGGGAUGACGGCCUUCGGGUUGUAAACCGCUUUCGCCUGUGACGAAGCGUGAGUGACGGUAAUGGGUAAAGAAGCACCGGCUAACUACGUGACAGCCGCCGCCGUAA